GGAAAUAUUUUUGUUGUACAUAUUGCUAGUGAGAAAAAUUUAUUAUCUUGUUGUAAGUUAAGCAGAAAUUAUUUUUCCUUUCCUACUAUAGCACUCCCGCUAUAAUUUUCCAGAAUUUUUCAAGUAAGGCGCCCUUUUAUUCAGGAGUGCUAUAAUUUUCCAGAAUUUUCAAGUAAGGUGCCCUUUUAUUCACCUUUUCCCGCUGACAACCCAAAACCAUUUCCAAGUGUUUGAAAAAAAAAAAAAAAAAAAAAAAAAGGAGAAAACAUGAAAUCCCGGAUAACAUCAUUUAGUCUCUCUGAUUCAGACACUCUCUGUAGAACGAGAAAGAAUUGUGGGCGUUGCACUCUUGAGUGUUUUGAAUCACUCUCCAAACCCAAUCUUGCUGGUCGACGACGAUAGUGGUAACUGGGUAUAAUCGUGCAUUCUUGGAAAAAGGUUUUGUGAUUAGUCAUUCAAAUACAUGACCACAUGUCACUCUCUGCUCAUUGUCUCUCUUUCUCUCUGUCUCCCAACCAUUUCUACCAUGACCUCUUGUAAGUUUCAAUUCAAAACAGCUGAUUUUGAUCAACUAAGGGUUGUGUUGUUAACUUAUAUUUUUUCAAUUAGCAGUAAGAGAACUGUAAUUCUAGUUGGAAAUCAUUGAGUAUACCAUCUGCUUUAUCUCCUCUUAGGUAAGUUGUUUGACUUCUAAUUUUAUUGUUUUAACCUCUCAUGUUGUCCAUGUUGGGAAUUAUAUGUGGAUUUUGAUUUAUAAGAUAUAGAUAACAGUUUUUAGCAGUGGAUCGAAGUUGGAUGUUCCUUAGAUAUAGAUUUUGUGAUGCAUCCACUGCUAGUUUAAACUCGUUUAUAUUGGUUGUAAACAAACAUUUGAAUGAGAAUCUUCAUACAAGACACGUUAUCCAUGUAGAGACUGCCUAAAUGGGAAUCUUCAUUCUUUGCAUGUUAUUCGUUCCCAUUUAAGAAAGUGAAUCAAGUGACCUAAUAGAGAAUGAUAGUGAUAGUGAGAAUCAUGAUGAUCACAAGACGUUUGAGAUGGUACAUAGUUUUCAAAGGGCAGUAGAUAUGGAAACUAAUGUGAUGUACUUGCAUGUUUUGAUUUUUGCAUUUUCAUAUAGUUAUGGCAAAAUGGAGAAGCUACUAAUGUGAUGCAUAGUUUAACUUUGUUCAUUUUUCUUCUCGAAGAAUAUCACUAUGGCAAGAAAGAGGAAGCAAGUCCAUUGUGACUUUUCAAGUGAGGCAUCAAUAGACAAUGUACAAAUUAAGGUUGAUGCUGUUAUAACUUCAAACAGUAGGGUUGAUGCUGUUAUAACAUCAAGCAGUACGUAGGGGAGUGCUAAUGGUAUGCCUUUUUAUAAAUCUCAAAAGGUGUUAUGUUUUAUAGCAUGAAAAUGUUGCCCUUUUCUUUUAGGCUGUUAUUGGUGUUUUCAAUUGGUUCUUCUUACAUUGGUCCUCGUCCUUCUUGUUCCUCUUGUUUUGUACUUUCUUUGUACAUGUAAAAGGUUCUUGUAUCUUAUGUAAAAUAAAAUUUGCAUUGAUGAUAUUUUAGUUGAACAAAAGAAAAAAAAAAAACAAUCAAAGACCUGUGUAAAGAAUUCUGAUAAACUGCAAGAGCAGCUUGGUGGUAAGAAAAUACCAAUUACUUUGACAAAACUAAAAGGGAAGCCCACAGGCCUGAAUUCCUCAUUUCUUCUGAAUGAUAUUGGUUUUGUGGUUCAGACCUAUGCACCACUAAAUGUGAAGCAAUGGAGGAAUGUAGAAAAGAAGGAAGUCGAUAAGAUGAUUGAAAGAACAACGAAUGUAUUACAAAGGCGGUUUGUUGAUUUUCGACCCAAGCUGAAGACGCAUUUUGAUUCCUAUCCAACUCUGGAGGAGGCACAACAAAACAAACAUGAGGACGUAAACAGUUAGGAGGAAUGGAAGUUUCUUUGUGAUCGUUAUGCGAGUGUUCAAUUCAAGGAAGAUAAGAAUGCUAUCAAUAGGUCUCAUUUGACUUACAAUCAUAAUGCGGGGUUAAAAUCCUUUAGGGCCCAUGAAUAUGAGAUUGAAGCCAAAAUGGAGAGUAACCAAGUGCAAUUGAUUGCUUUGAGGCUGUGCGGACAAACAAAAAAAAUGGUUGGGAUGAAGGAGCUAAACUGAAGUGGGAAGAGAUGAUAGGUACGAAAAAUGACACAACUCUUCCAGAUGGUAAUGUGACAUUGACAAAUGAUGAAAUUGUUUUAGAGGUCCUUGGUCAUAAGUUUGGGUACUUCAAGGGUCCUUCAAAGUUUCUUUCUUCUGAAGACUCUGUGUUGCGCAAACAUUUAGAAGAAAGAGUUGAGACUCAACAACAAGAGCUUGUAACAACAAAACAAGAGCUUGUUGAAACAAAAGAAGAGCUUGAUGAAGCAAAACAAUAAAUCCAAGAAUUGAAGGAUAAUCAAAAGAAAUUUGAGGAACCCUUACACAAAAUAAUGGAAGGCCAACAACCACCUCCAUAGGUAGUCCUUUGGUUGUGCUGGAAUAUGUGAACUUUCAUAGUUGCUACCCAUUAAUCUUCACCAAUUUUGUAGACUAUGAAUUAUCAUUGUAAGCUAUUUCGUGUUUUGGACUACUAUAAUUAAGUUCUAGUACUUUUCAUCAUUCA